UAUAUCUUAAAUACUGUGAUUUGAGUUUUUUAAAUCCUAAUAUUUUACUAACCAACAAUCAUGUGUCUAACAACAAACAUUGGGAUCCUUCUGAAAUCAGUGUGAACUGAUGUAUACUGUUUAGUAGCUUGGCUCUUGGACCUGCUGGAAACACAAAAAAAGCUGAAACGUCACAAGAGAAAUACACCCGCAUGCGCACACAGGCCCGCCCCUCCCCAGCAAGCAGGGUCGGUCCCGCUGGAGACCCGGAACUUCUCCUAUGUAGUAAGCAGCUGUCUGCUCUUCAGGGAAUUACUACCUGGGGAUUGUUACCAAAGAGCUCUGCAAUCUGAGAGAUGCUGAGACAGGGACUCUCACCGGCUGCUCCUCUGGCAGCCUCCAGCGGAAGCCAC
rnacentral:lncRNA from 1 species